rnacentral:rRNA from 1 species
CCGGCGACCGGCGCACGGGUGAGUAACACGUAUGAAACCUGCCCGUAGCAGGGGGAUAAGCGGAAGAAAUUCCGUCUAAUACCGCGUAACAACCCAUGGAGGCAUCUCUGUGGGUUUAAAGGAAGCGAUUCCGGCUACGGAUGGGCAUGCGGCGCAUUAGCUAGUCGGCGGGGUAACGGCCCACCGAGGCGACGAUGCGUAGGGGUUCUGAGAGGAAGGUCCCCCACACUGGUACUGAGACACGGACCAGACUCCUACGGAAGGCAGCAG